GAUGAACGCUGGCGGCGUGCUUAACACAUGCAAGUCGAGCGAGUGAGUUCUUCGGAACGAUCUAGCGGCGGACGGGUGAGUAACACGUGGGCAACCUGCCUCAUAGAGGGGAAUAGCCUCCCGAAAGGGAGAUUAAUACCGCAUAAAAUUAUCGAGUGGCAUCACAUGAUAAUCAAAGGAGUAAUCCGCUAUGAGAUGGGCCCGCGGCGCAUUAGCUAGUUGGUGAGGUAACGGCGCACCAAGGCGACGAUGCGUAGCCGACCGGAGAGGGUGAGCGGCAACAUUGGGACUGAGACACGGCCCAGACUCCUACGGGAGGCAGCAGUGGGGAAUAUUGCACAAUGGGGGCAACCCUGAUGCAGCAACGCCGCGUGAGUGAUGAAGGUCUUCGGAUUGUAAAGCUCUGUCUUUGGGGACGAUAAUGACGGUACCCAAGGAGGAAGCCACGGCUAACUACGUGCCAGCCGCCGCGGUAA
rnacentral:rRNA from 1 species